rnacentral:hammerhead_ribozyme from 1 species
AUCCAGUUGACGAGUCCCAAGUUGGAUGAAAGGCGUGUCUUGGAU